UACGUAGGCAGCAAGCGUUGUUCGGAGUUACUGGGCGUAAAGGGUGUGUAGGCGGUUGUUUAAGUUUGGUGUGAAAUCUCCCGGCUCAACUGGGAGGGUGCGCCGAAUACUGAAUGACUAGAGUGCGGGAGAGGAAAGUGGAGUUCCUGGUGUAGCGGUGAAAUGCGUAGAUAUCAGGAGGAACACCGGUGGUGUAGACGGCUUUCUGGACCGUAACUGACGCUGAGACACGAAAGCGUGGGUAGCAAACAGG
rnacentral:rRNA from 1 species